UGGGUGUAGCUAUCGAGGGUAUCCUUAAUAGGCUGGAACAACAAGAAGAUAGCUUGGAUGAUGCUAUGGGUGCUGAUAGAUGAUGAAGUUUCCAGUGAAACCAAGUCCAUGGUGGAGAUCCAUGAUUAAGGAAGGAGCAGUAGUGAUUUUUUUAUGGACAGUAAUAUCGUUUUUUGGAAUUGUCAGGGUGCUGGUCAUCCGAGGUUUGAUCGUAUUGUGAAGGAAUAUAUUCGUGAGAAUAAACAGUGAAUUAUGACGUUGGUGAAGACAAGGCUGAGAGAAGAAAAAGUAGACAAGGUCAUCGCUAAACUGGGGUUUCCUUUUUCUCGUAGAAUUAAAGAGAAUAGUUCAUCUUACUCGUCUGUAUUUGGUCAACUACUAACGACUUGAAAACAAAAGAUUUCAUAUUCGACUAUACAAAGCCUUGCACACAUAAAGCUUUCACUAAUGUGAUUUAAUAAUUGUAGUAUCA
rnacentral:lncRNA from 1 species